GACUAACGCUGGCGGCGUGCCUAACACAUGCAAGUCGAACGAGUAGCAAUACUAGUGGCAGACGGGUGAGUAACGCGUAGGUAAUGUGCCUUCUUGCUGGGGAUACCGUUCCGAAAGGAGCGUUAAUACCGAAUGUGUCGGUUUCGGGGCAUCCCGAGAUCGAUAAACUGCUAGGGCGAGAAGAGCAGCCUGCGUUCUAUCAGCUUGUUGGUGGGGUAACGGCCUACCAAGGCUACGACGGAUAGCCGGUCUGAGAGGAUGAUCGGCCACACUGGGACUGAGACACGGCCCAGACUCCUACGGGAGGCAGCAGUGAGGAAUAUUGCGCAAUGGGCGAAAGCCUGACGCAGCGACGCCGCGUGAGGGAUGAAGGCUCUCGGGUUGUAAACCCCUUUCAGCAGGGACGAAUCAAGACGGUACCUGCAGAAGAAGCCCCCGGCUAACUACGUGCCAGCAGCCGCGGU
rnacentral:rRNA from 1 species